GACGAACGCUGGCGGCGUGCUUAACACAUGCAAGUCGAACGGAAAGGCCCUGCUUUUGUGGGGUGCUCGAGUGGCGAACGGGUGAGUAACACGUGAGUAACCUGCCCUUGACUUUGGGAUAACUUCAGGAAACUGGGGCUAAUACCGGAUAGGAGCUCCUGCUGCAUGGUGGGGGUUGGAAAGUUUCGGCGGUUGGGGAUGGACUCGCGGCUUAUCAGCUUGUUGGUGGGGUAGUGGCUUACCAAGGCUUUGACGGGUAGCCGGCCUGAGAGGGUGACCGGCCACAUUGGGACUGAGAUACGGCCCAGACUCCUACGGGAGGCAGCAGUGGGGAAUAUUGCACAAUGGGCGGAAGCCUGAUGCAGCAACGCCGCGUGCGGGAUGACGGCCUUCGGGUUGUAAACCGCUUUCGCCUGUGACGAAGCGUGAGUGACGGUAAUGGGUAAAGAAGCACCGGCUAACUACGUGCCAGCAGCCGCGGUGAUACGUAGGGUGCGAGCGUUGUCCGGAUUUAUUGGGCGUAAAGGGCUCGUAGGUGGUUGAUCGCGUCGGAAGUGUAAUCUUGGGGCUUAACCCUGAGCGUGCUUUCGAUACGGGUUGACUUGAGGAAGGUAGGGGAGAAUGGAGUUCCUGGUGGAGCGGUGGAAUGCGCAGAUAUCAGGAGGAACACCAGUGGCGAAGGCGGUUCUCUGGGCCUUUCCUGACGCUGAGGAGCGAAAGCGUGGGGAGCGAACAGGCUUAGAUACCCUGGUAGUCCACGCUGUAAACGGUGGGUACUAGGUGUGGGGUCCAUUCCACGGGUUCCGUGCCGUAGCUAACGCUUUAAGUACCCCGCCUGGGGAGUACGGCCGCAAGGCUAAAACUCAAAGGAAUUGACGGGGCCCCGCACAAGCGGCGGAGCAUGCGGAUUAAUUCGAUGCAACGCGUAGAACCUUACCUGGGUUUGACAUGGAUCGGGAGUGCUCAGAGAUGGGUGUGCCUCUUUUGGGGUCGGUUCACAGGUGGUGCAUGCCUGUCGUCAGCUCGUGUCGUGAGAUGUUGGGUUAAGUCCCGCAACGAGCGCAACCCUUGUUCACUGUUGCCAGCACGUUAUGGUGGGGACUCAGUGGAGACCGCCGGGGUCAACUCGGAGGAAGGUGGGGAUGACGUCAAGUCAUCAUGCCCCUUAUGUCCAGGGCUUCACGCAUGCUACAAUGGCUGGUACAGAGAGUGGCGAGCCUGUGAGGGUGAGCGAAUCUCGGAAAGCCGGUCUCAGUUCGGAUUGGGGUCUGCAACUCGACCUCAUGAAGUCGGAGUCGCUAGUAAUCGCAGAUCAGCAACGCUGCGGUGAAUACGUUCCCGGGGC
rnacentral:rRNA from 1 species